UAGUCGGCAAUGAAAAAAGAGUAGUACAUUUACUGAGGGUUUAACAGAGAGUCUGUGGCAGGUGCAAACAGGCAGCCCGGUAAAUCGAAUGGACUUUUGAGCUUCUGAAUUUUUCAGGCGCUUCCCUGCGUUAUCGGGGACCUAUGCAUUAUUCUGCAUAGGGCAGAGUGACUCAGUAUUUGAGUAAUUAGGGUGGCAACGCGGACCAUUCGUCCCUAUU
rnacentral:ncRNA from 1 species